CCUACGGGGGGCUGCAGUCGAGAAUCAUUCACAAUGGGGGAAACCCUGAUGGUGCGACGCCGCGUGGGGGAAUGAAGGUCUUCGGAUUGUAAACCCCUGUCAUGUGGGAGCAAAUUAAAAAGAUAGUACCACAUGAGGAAGAGACGGCUAACUCUGUGCCAGCAGCCGCGGUAAUACAGAGGUCUCAAGCGUUGUUCGGAAUCACUGGGCGUAAAGCGUGCGUAGGCUGUUUCGUAAGUCGUGUGUGAAAGGCGCGGGCUCAACCCGCGGACGGCACAUGAUACUGCGAGACUAGAGUAAUGGAGGGGGAACCGGAAUUCUCGGUGUAGCAGUGAAAUGCGUAGAUAUCGAGAGGAACACUCGUGGCGAAGGCGGGUUCCUGGACAUUAACUGACGCUGAGGCACGAAGGCCAGGGGAGCGAAAGGGAUUAGAUACCCGAGUAGUC
rnacentral:rRNA from 1 species